CUAUACUACAGUGUGGAAUUGCUUCAGGGGAAAAUGUGGAUCAAGAAGCACAAUUAAGGCUUUCUGAUUUUCAUAUGAUGGGGUCUGGAUUCUUAUCGAGGUUGUUUGGAAGAGGGUAUGAAGAUGAAAUGGAGAAUUUUAUGAGAUGGAAGUGCAAUAGCGGAAGUAUUGACAAUCAGGCAAUUUUAUUGGAGCCAGAAAACGAGAAGGUUUUCUUGGAGAAAAUUAGAAACAAAUAAGUAUCACAGGUUGCACUAUCGUGUAUGCCUGUGUUUCAAUUUUUCUAAUUACAAUAUCUGCAUUUCAAUGGUUUCUGACUCAGGUCAUAAGGUUUGUUGUUACAAUUGACCAGG